GGAUGUGAGCCCAUCUGGCUGUGGCGUGUCUCCCCAUUGCUCGCUAGGGUUGAUUUGGCUGAUGUGGCUGGCUAGGCGGGGGUCCCUUUCCUCCCUCAUUGCUCCAUGUGCAUCCCUCCCAAAGCUGUGUGCUCAGUCAAAGACUUCAACCAUCCCCAACAGAGGAGGACCAGUUUUCAGCCAAGAGCACACAAAUAGCUGGGCUCUUCUGCUCGAACCUCCAAACAAGCUCUCAAUCCCCGGAAUCUGACCUUAUAUGAAGAGACGGUCUUUACAGAGGUAAUCAAUUUUAAAUGAGGUUAUGAGGGUUAGCCCUAAU
rnacentral:snRNA from 1 species